rnacentral:rRNA from 1 species
AUUCGCCCUUAGUAACGGCGUAAGUGAAGCGGCAACAGCUCAAAUUUGAAAUCUGGCUCUCGGGCCCGCGCUGUAAUUUGUAGAGGAUACUUUUGAUGCGGUGCCUUCCGAGUUCCCUGGAACGGGACGCCAUAGAGGGUGAGAGCCCCGUCUGGUUGGAUGCCAAAUCUCUGUAAAGUUCCUUCAACGAGUCGAGUAGUUUGGGAAUGCUGCUCUAAAUGGGAGGUAUAUGUCUUCUAAAGCUAAAUACCGGCCAGAGACCGAUAGCGCACAAGUAGAGUGAUCGAAAGAUGAAAAGCACUUUGAAAAGAGAGUUAAAAAGUACGUGAAAUUGUUGAAAGGGAAGCGUUUAUGACCAGACUUGGGCUUGGUUAAUCAUCUGGGGUUCUCCCCAGUGCACUUUUCCAGUCCAGGCCAGCAUCAGUUUUCCCCGGGGGAUAAAGGCGGCGGGAAUGUGGCUCUCUUCGGGGAGUGUUAUAGCCCACCGUGUAAUACCCUGGGGGGGACUGAGGUUCGCGCAUCUGCAAGGAUGCUGGCGUAAUGGUCAUCAACGACCCGUCUUGAAACACGGACCAAGGAGUCGUCUUCGUAUGCGAGUGUUCGGGUGUCAAACCCCUACGCGUAAUGAAAGUGAACGCAGGUGAGAGCUUCGGCGCAUCAUCGACCGAUCCUGAUGUUCUCGGAUGGAUUUGAGUAAGAGCAUACGGGGCCGGACCCGAAAGAAGGUGAACUAUGCCUGUAUAGGGUGAAGCCAGAGGAAACUCUGGUGGAGGCUCGCAGCGGUUCUGACGUGCAAAUCGAUCGUCAAAUAUGGGCAUGGGGGGCGAAAGACUAAUCGAACCUUCUAGUAGCUGGUUUCCGCUCGAAGC